CGUAGUUCUCACUCAGUACUCUUAUCCCAAGAAGGCGUUACACACUUACAUCCAUUUCAUGGUCAUAUUUAUUAUUACUGCUAUUAAUGACCACAGUAAAGCUGACUUUGUGAGUCUCUGGGACAAGGGGAAUGAAUUUGAGUGGGUGGGACAGAAAGAGGGAAGCAUCUCAGGAUGAAAGAACAAGUGACCAGUGGGUCUGGGGCAGGAGGAGACGCUGAGAGACUGAGGGAGAUUCUUGCAGAGUUUGCCAAAAUUAGGGUUACUACACAUGUCCCUGGGGUAAGACUGGAAUUACAUUACAUUCUGAAGUGGUUACUAAGUGAAUAGGAAGCAACAGACAGACAAGGUGUGGCCAAAAAGCCUUCACCAUCUUUCAAGGAAGACAUACUGGAAGAACCUAAAACCAGGGCAUGGUGGACCAGGAGAUAGGAAAUGAAUUAUUAAGAUGCUGUCCAAGUGGAAGUCACAACUUGGACACUUGAUGAGAAUUAAAAGUGGGUGGGGAAGAGGGCCAGGUCCUCCUGUGAUUCUGGGGCUUUCUGGGUGAGUGUUGGCCAUGCCAGCAGCUGCCCUUCUGAUCUCCAAGGGGUUGGGGUUCCACGUUGUCAUGGCUGGAUGUGUACCAAGCCAAGCUCUGUUCCAGAAAUCCUUAUCACUGCUGGUGGUGAAAACGUGCCCCCCAUUCCCGUUGAGACCUUGGUUAAGAAGAAGAUCCCCAUCAUCAGUAACGCCAUGUUAGUAGGAGAUAAACUGAAGUUUCUGAGCAUGUUGCUGACGCUGAAGGUAACAUGGGUUUGCUGCCAUUGGGGGAAGUCUCUGCAGCCGGUCUUACGUUCCCUGGCCCCACCCCAGGGUCAAGAGGAUGCAUCUGUGGGUUCAAGACCCACUUCUUGGUCUGUGGGCCUGGGGAGGGGUGCUGGUCAAGGAGUAUGUGUGGUGACAGAGGUGUCCGGGGGCAGUGUGAGAUGAAUCAGAUGAGCGGAGAACCUCUGGACAAGCUGAACUUGGAGGCCAUCAACUUCUGCCGGGGUCUGGGCAGCCAGGCAUCCACCGUGACUGAGAUUGUGAAGCAGCAAGACCCCCUGGUCUACAAGGCCAUCCAGCAAGGCAUCAAUGCCGUGAACCAGGAAGCCAUGAACAAUGCACAGAAGAUUCAAAAGUGGGUCAUCUUGGAGAAGGACUUUUCCAUCUAUGGUGGAGAGCUAGGUCCAAUGAUGAAACUUAAGAGACAUUUUGUAGCCCAGAAAUACAAAAAACAAAUUCAUCACAUGUACCAUGACUGCUUUGAUGGAGCUGCUGUCAGCUAUUCUGAUGCCUUCAGCAGGAAGACCUCAUUGCAAUAAGUGAAAUGCUGCUCUGGGUAGAAGCUCUUCCUGCUGUUUUUAAGGAGUCACAUUCCUCAUUAGUCAGUUUCUUGAUUGCUCGUCUGUUGAAGAGGUGCUCCCUAGAAGAACCUGCCAUACGUUUCAAAGCACUAAAAUCAUCGUAGAUCUUUCUAUGGACCUUCAAGUCAUGACCCCAGGGAAGCCUCACUGGGAAGUCUACCAAGAGCUGCCUGAUUUGGAAGAAAGAUCUGAACUUGUGGGUUCCCAUUUGAUUUUUUUUUUCUCCUCAGGGGACUUAAAGAGACAUUAGAAAGAAAAAGCCUUCACAGAUUUGAAGAACUGGGCCCCCAGAUGAACUCACCUGCCUGGAAGCAACUGGGAAACCCUUCCAAUAAGUUCUGAUAAUAAAGCACUUCAGGGCCCCACGUCUUGAUUUUUGGCUUGACACAAAUACUUCGUCCUUUAUUUAGUGUGAUGGGGAGGGGCUUGGC
ensembl:lincRNA